rnacentral:rRNA from 1 species
UGGGGAAUAUUGGACAAUGGGGGGAACCCUGAUCCAGCGACGCCGCGUGAGUGAAGAAGUAUUUCGGUAUGUAAAGCUCUAUCAGCAGGGAAGAAAAUGACGGUACCUGACUAAGAAGCCCCGGCUAACUACGUGCCAGCAGCCGCGGUAAUACGUAGGGGGCAAGCGUUAUCCGGAUUUACUGGGUGUAAAGGGAGCGCAGACGGCUUGGCAAGUCUGAAGUGAAAGCCCGGGGCUUAACCCCGGGACUGCUUUGGAAACUGUGAAGCUAGAGUGUCGGAGAGGUAAGUGGAAUUCCCAGUGUAGCGGUGAAAUGCGUAGAUAUUGGGAGGAACACCGGCGGCGAAGGCGGCUUACUGGACGAUAACUGACGUUGAGGCUCGAAGGCGUGGGGAGCAAACAGGAUUAGAUACCCUGGUAGUCCACGCGGUAAACGAUGAAUACUAGGUGUCGGGGGACAUAGUCUUUCGGUGCCGCCGCUNACGCAUUAAGUAUUCCACCUGGGGAGUACGUUCGCAAGAAU